rnacentral:rRNA from 1 species
UACGGAGGGAGCUAGCGUUGUUCGGAAUUACUGGGUGUAAAGCGCGCGUAGGCGGCUUUGUAAGUUAGAGGUGAAAGCCCGGAGCUCAACUCCGGAACUGCCUUUAAAACUGCAUCGCUUGAAUCCAGGAGAGGUGAGUGGAAUUCCGAGUGUAGAGGUGAAAUUCGUAGAUAUUCGGAAGAACACCAGUGGCGAAGGCGGCUCACUGGACUGGUAUUGACGCUGAGGUGCGAAAGCGUGGGGAGCAAACAGG